rnacentral:rRNA from 1 species
CCCUUAGAUGUCCGGGGCUGCACGCGCGCUACACUGAAGGAAUCAGCGUGCUAAAACCAUUGUCGAAAGGCAUUGGUAAACCCAUUAAAAUCCUACGUGAUUGGGAUCGGGAAUUGCAAUUAUUUCCCUUGAACGAGGAAUUCCCAGUAAGUGUGGGUCAUAAGCUCGCGUUGAUUACGUCCCUGCCCUUUGUACACACCGCCCGUCGCUGCCCGGGACUGAGCCGUUUCGAGAAAAGCGGGGACUGCUGCUGUCGGGGCUUUCGGGCCUUGGCUUCGGUGGAAACCGCUUUAAUCGCAGUGGCUGGAACCGGGCAAAAGUCGUAACA